CACAGAUCCUCUAGGGUGGGGAGUCUGGUAGAGUUGCUACAUACUGUGCACUGUUUCCCAUGGCAACAGCUUCCACCAACGGCCACUCUCAGAAAGGGCCCAGGUCCCCAGUGGGAAAGGACUGUCCUUCCAUACGGAGUCAGAGGCUCCCAGGCAGCCAGGAACAGUCAGGGAAGGGAUGAACUAGAGUGAGAAUCCAGGCCCAGGGGAGGCUCAAAGCUGAGAGAGGGAGAUGGGGCCCCCAGGCCACCAGUGUGGAGGGAAGUGGAGGAGGGUGUCACUGGCUCCCGCUCAGCAGCAGCAGCAGCAGCAGCAGCAGCAGCAGCAGCCUCCACCAUUUUUAUUAAAUCUGCGGUUACCUUCCCCCUUCUUGCCGUAUUGGUCCUGCCUGCCUUCCUAUCCUGUAAAGCAUGGAGCCAUGAAAGCCAGGCUUGUUGGAAUGCAAAUCUCUGCAAGGGCCAGGACACCAGAGCCCAGCCAGCUUCUCUGUGCAUCCUCAGUGUCUGUCUAGCCCAGUGGCCAGCAUACAGCAGGAGCCAAAAACAUGCCAAAUUCUUGGAUGCAGAUUCCUCCAUCCUGGUGCUUUUCCUUCUUCUAAACAUUUUUACAUGAUCUGCUUCCCCCAGCAUGUAACGUCAGCUGUGAUGAAAUCCAUGCUUGAUUUUAGAGUGUCCUGUUCUGUCUAAAUUGUGUUACCAAGUAGAUGGAGAAAUCACGGUCUCCACUUUAAGAGGAAAUUAGUUUCUGUGAGAAACAUUAAAGUUUGAAAACAA